AAAAAGGAACAGCGUCAGACUUUGAAUUAAUUGAAGGAUCUUCUCAAACAGCCUUUCUGAGUACUGUAUCCACAGUGGCAUAUUCACAUUACAUACAGUGUCUGUAYUGGUGGUCAUUGGUGAGAUAGGUAAUACAUGGUCAGUGAUUUUUCACAGUGAAAAGUGAACAUGAACCAUUCAAGGAACAAAAAGGACAAACAAACUGAGACUAAAAGGUAGUAAAUGACGUCACCACCAAUACCGCUGYUGCUAUGACGUCAGAAGGAUUGGAGGACGAAGCUACAUAAACAAAAUGAUCACRUGAUGGCAUAUUUGGAAGUCAACAUUCAAACCAACACAGAGAAAAUGAGUGUUAAUCACACCGUAAUGUUUAGAAAACGAUACUUAAUUUACUAAGAUUUACGUUUACUGCAAACACCAAAGGUCAUGGGCUUUUACGAUGCUUUGCUCAAAAUUUCAAACAAACGUAAAAACGCUUCGAAAGGAAUAGUGAUGCGCUUAUGCGCGAAAAAGUGAUCUAUUUUAUACACGAUCGUGAAAGGAGCGUUAAUACAGAAAACCAGUGAUCACAUGAUCAGUUUUGACGUUUGGCGUUCGCCGUAAACGCGUAUCUAAAACUCUCUAACGGAACUCCCUCUCCCUCAGCUCUCAUUCCAUGUUAUGCUCUGUCAUGCUCUGUGUACUGAAAUCUACUGUAUUCCUGGUUAGAUUUUUCGUAUCUUUAGGUGUUGUAUUUAAUUACGUAAUUGGUACGUCCAAAAGGAAUCCAACUUGUUAUUGUCCAUUUUUUCUAUUUGCAAUUAUAGAAUUACGYAAUGAGAUUUCUAUAACUUACGUCAUAGCCAAGCGGGUGGGACUGGGGGCAGUGUUAUUUCGUGGUCAUAUAAUAAAUAUGUUUUUGCACAUUUUA